GACGAACGCUGGCGGCGUGCCUAAUACAUGCAAGUCGAACGCUUCUUUCCUCCCGAGUGCUUGCACUCAAUUGGAAAGAGGAGUGGCGGACGGGUGAGUAACACGUGGGUAACCUACCCAUCAGAGGGGGAUAACACUUGGAAACAGGUGCUAAUACCGCAUAACAGUUUAUGCCGCAUGGCAUAAGAGUGAAAGGCGCUUUCGGGUGUCGCUGAUGGAUGGACCCGCGGUGCAUUAGCUAGUUGGUGGGGUAACGGCUCACCAAGGCAACGAUGCAUAGCCGACCUGAGAGGGUGGUAGGCCACACUGGGACUGCGACACGGCCCAGACUCCUGCGGGAGGCAGCAGUAGGGAAUCUUCGGCAAUGGACGAAAGUCUGACCGAGCAACGCCGCGUGAGUGAAGAAGGUUUUCGGAUCUUAAAACUCUGUUGUUAGAGAAGAACAAGGACGUUAGUAACUGAACGUCCCCUGACGGUAUCUAACCAGAAAGCCACGGCUAACUACGUG
rnacentral:rRNA from 1 species